GCUUGUAUGGCGCAACGGCAGCGCGUAGGAUUGCAGAUCCCGAGGUUGCUGGUUCGAAUCCGGCUACAAGCU
rfam:Lipomyces starkeyi NRRL Y-11557 unplaced genomic scaffold LIPSTscaffold_17, whole genome shotgun sequence.